CGUUCACAUAAAAGGGCGGUGUUUUCACCGUAUGUCCAAUCGCAAAUAUGUACAGAACAAGAGCCGCAUAUUUUACUCAGGAGGAGCAAACGAUAAUUAUGGAAACUUAUCAAACGCACAAACAUACAAUACAGGCAAAGAGUAACACCGUCGCGGCUGCCAAGUCAAGGAGAGAAAGCUGGCAGAAAAUUGCCGACGCUGUUAAUGCGUACGUUACAUGACUUAUUGAUAUCACUGGCCCAGGCACAAGAUGUUACCUAAUUACACUUGUGCGUUCCAUAACGUUAAACUUAAGUUGCUGUAAUAUUUUAGUUGCAACCCUGCCAGUGCUAAACGGUCCUGGGAGCAAAUAAAAAAACAAAUAUAAAAACAUCAUUCAAACCGCCAACAGGAAGAAAAGUGAGGUGAGGAAAACUGGAGGGGGCCCUCCUCCACAGGACUUCACUCCUGCCGAGGAGCUGGCCCUCUCCAGCAAUCAGGGUCGCCCCAUAAUGGAAGGAAUGGAAGGGGGCAUCUCUUCAGACCCUGGUGGCAGCAGAUCAGACACCCAGGCAUGUAUACAGGUGAAAGGAAAUACAGUGGUGUUGCUGCCACCACCCACUGUCAUCCCACGGUGCCAUACAGAGGU